GCAAGCUAGCAUUUCCAAUGACUCUGACUGCACCGAUCUUUGCAUGAACUUUCUAUAGAGGCCAGAUGACUUCGUGUAGCUACGAGCAAUCUGAAGGAGAGCCUCUCCAAUUGUUGGAUCAAAAGAGAUCAAAAGACUUCAAUUUGGUAAUGGUUUCUAAACUUUCUUGAUCUUGUAUGUUGGAUCUAAUGGUUAGAUCUCA
rnacentral:lncRNA from 1 species